GACCUCUCAGGGUCGUACUUGGAGUGUUUCCAGUACUCUACCACUCGACUACUGGAGGGAGAGUCAAGCAGAGGCACACCCAUUCCAUUCCUAGCUUGGCCAGUGACUAGUGAGUGGAAGGCAAUCUGCUACAAGU
rfam:Ornithorhynchus anatinus chromosome X1, whole genome shotgun sequence.